rnacentral:rRNA from 1 species
ACUCAAAUGAAUUGACGGGGACCCGCACAAGCAGCGGAGCAUGUGGUUUAAUUCGAAGCAACGCGAAGAACCUUACCAGGACUUGACAUCCUUCUGACAGGACCUUAACCGGUCCCUCCUUCGGGCAGAAGAGACAGGUGGUGCAUGGUUGUCGUCAGCUCGUGUCGUGAGAUGUUGGGUUAAGUCCCGCAACGAGCGCAACCCUUGUCAUUAGUUGCCAUCAUUUAGUUGGGCACUCUAAUGAGACUGCCGGGGAUAACUCGGAGGAAGGUGGGGAUGACGUCAAAUCAUCAUGCCCCUUAUGUCCUGGGCUACACACGUGCUACAAUGGCUGGUACAAAGAGACGCAAGACCGCGAGGUGGAGCAAAUCUUCAAAACCAGUCCCAGUUCGGAUUGUAGGCUGAAACUCGCCUGCAUGAAGUCGGAGUUGCUAGUAAUCGUGAAUCAGAAUGUCACGGUGAAUGCGUUCCCGGGUCUUGUACACACCGCCCGU